GGGCGCAUAGCUCAGCUGGCUAGAGCCACCGGCUCAUAACCGGUCGGUCGUAGGUUCGAGUCCUACUGCGCCCACCG
rnacentral:tRNA from 1 species